UUCCGGUUGAUCCCGCCGGAGGUUACUGCUAUCGGAGUUCGAUUAAGCCAUGCGAGUCUAAAGGUUUCUUCGGAAACCUUGGCGGACUGCUCAGUAACACGUGGAUAACCUACCCUUGGGACUGGAAUAACCCCGGGAAACUGGGGAUAAUACCGGAUAGAUCAGGGAUGCUGGAAUGCGCCUUGAUCCAAAGCUCCGGCGCCCAAGGAUUGGGUCUCCGGCCUAUCAGAUUGUAGUGGGUGUAACGUACCUACUAGCCGACGACGGUUACGGUUGGUGAGAGCCAAGAGCCCGGAGAUGGAUUCUGAUAAAUCCAGAUUCCAGGCCCUUACGGGGUUCCAGCAAGGCGCCGAAAACCCUUUAAACCAAUUGUGCCGAAAAGCAUGAUUAAGGGGAAACUUCCGAAGUGCCCAGUAAUUCUAAUACUGGCCUGACCUUUGUGCCUUAAAACGCACAAGAAUAGCCAAGGGGCCGGGUAAGACCGGUGCCAGCCGCCGCGGUAACACAGGCGGCCCGAUUGUUAGCCGUUUUUAUUGGGUCUAAAGGGUCCGUAGCCGCUUGAUAAGUCUUUUGGGAAAUCUGGCAGCUUAACUGUCAGGCUUCUAAGGGAUACUGUCAGGCUUGGGACCGGAAGAGGUAAGGGGUACUCCAGGGGUAGGAGUGAAAUCUUGUAAUCCCUGGGGGACCAUCUGUGGCGAAGGCGCCUUACCAGAACGGGUCCGACGGUGAGGGACGAAAGCUAGGGGAGCAAACCGGAUUAGAUACCCGGGUAGUCCUAGCUGUAAACGAUGCUCGCUAGGUGUCAGACACGGUGCGACCGUGUUUGGUGCCGCAGGGAAGCCGUUAAGCGAGCCACCUGGGAAGUACGGUCGCAAGGCUGAAACUUAAAGGAAAUGGCGGGGGGAGCACAAAGGGUGGAGCCUGCGGUUUAAUUGGAAUUCAA
rnacentral:rRNA from 1 species